GUCUACGGCCAUACCACCCUGAACGCACCCCAGCUCGUCUGACCUCGGAAGCUAAGCAGGGUUGGGCCUGGUUAGUACUUGGAUGAGAGAUCUUGCUAGAGAGGGGAUGCAGACA
ensembl:rRNA 5S_rRNA 5S ribosomal RNA